rnacentral:misc_RNA from 1 species
AGGAAGAGAGGAGGAGAAAAGGGAAGAGACAGCGAGUAUAGGGCUCUCUAGCGAUGUGUUUGUGUGUUAGUGGUUCCGUGUAAAAGGUGCGAAAGCGGUGGAGAAAGAGAAAGAUAGAUAAGAGAGAAGGAGAACAACGAGUAGUGAGGAGGAAGAGAGAGAGAGAGAGAGAGAUCGACAUAAAGAGCGCGGGAGAGAAAGAGAGAGACAGAGGAGCGGCGGUGGCGCUUUUUUUUCGCUCGUCCGCUCUCGAGAGGGCGGACGAGAGUAUGGUAUCCCCGUUUCUCUCUCUCUCUCGCCGUGUGUCCCUCUGAGUGUGUUCGUGUCCCCUCUCGUCGUCGACGUCGUCGACGCGAGCGGCAGGUAGAGGAGGCGCGCGAAGGCACCGUCCGUGCGAGCGAGUGAGAGCGCGUGAGCGAGCGAGUGAGCGAGUGAAGCGAGCGAGCGAGCGGACAACAGCGAGAACGCGAGAAGGAAGACGAAAGUGGCGAGAAAGGGAGAAGCGUCGGCGUCGAGACGCCCGGCGGCGGCGGCGGCCAACUACCUGCUAACGACGCCGAGCCGAUUAAACGCGCGCGCGAUUCGUCGCGUUACGAGUUGCCGUUUCCGCCGCUACUUGUGAUCAACACUUGCGGCGGAUAGCUGCUCGUGUGUGGGAAAAAUGGGAUGCGCAGCGGCGGCGGUGAGUCGUCGCGGACGGUCCACCUAACGAGUUUGUAGUAUUUCUCGCCUGCCUGGCGCUCGUCGCGGCAGCGGUGGCGGCAGCGACGGCGGUGGUGGCGUUGGCGUUGGCGGUGUCGGUGGCGGUGGCUGUGGCACUGGCGGUGGCCGUCGCGGUGGCGGUAGCGGUAGCGACGAGGCCCAACGGCGAGAAGCGGUCGGAAAAAUGGCGUCCGAUAACGAAGCCUCUUGCGCGAGUGACCCAAAUUUCGCGGUGAUCUGUUCGUUUCUCGGCUGCUUCGGCAAGUCCUGCGGCAUCCUUUACCCGGACAUCACGCGGCUUCAGGAGAUGCUCGAGAACACACUCGAAGUAUCGCAAGAACUAAUAGACCUGCAUGUCAAGUUAUUACGUAAAACACGUAAAACUGUCUCGCCAGAAAAGUGGGAGCGGGCGCUAGUCAAGUUUUGCCACACGUACUCUAAUCAAGAUGGAUGGGAACUUGAACGUUUUGGCUACAAAAAAGCCCGCAUUGCUGUUAAACUGCGUCUACUUAAAGUACUAUUGGAAACACAGUUUGACUUGAAUCAAAAAUUUAAGAACGAGGUGAACAAAUUGGCAGCUGAUGAGUUGCGUGUGGAACCGUUAGGAAGGGACAAAAGUGGACUGGCGUAUUGGUGUCAGCUGGAUGAAGAGUGCAACAUAAGAGUCUACAGGGAAGAUUUAGAUGAAGAAAAUUGGGAACUAGUAGCUAAGGACCGAGAGGGUGUUGUCGAUCUUAUAAACACCUUGUCGAACGGCGAAGCCGGAGCUAUACCUAUCAACGAGGAUAGCAACAGCUUGGAAAUUUCUGAGAAACCUAUAAUAGACACCGGUCAGGUGACGACGUCGCCGAGUCUGGAGGACGAAGUUGUACAAGAGAAUAACGCUCGUGCGAACGAGAUGAAUGACAAACAGCUACCGAAUGGUAGGAGCGAUGAAUUCGAGGACGAGCAAGAACAUGAGCAGAAUCAAGACCAGGAUCAGGAUCAGGAUCAAAAUCAGGAUGACAUAGGUAACGAGGCUGAAAAUGAUGAAGAGGACAUCGAUGCGGAGGAGGAUGUGACAAAUGAUGAAAGUUCCAAGCAAAUCACGGAGGAAGACGAUUCUCAAGAAAUGGUACAAACUCCGAGCACAGAAUCAAGGUGUACAGACAAUUUGAAAACGAUAAACGCAAAGGUGGACACGACAGCAGUGGAAGACGCGAGCAACAAAGAGGCUACCGAUGAAACAUCCGCCGUCUCUUCAGCGUCAGAGACCAAGUCCGUGGUGAUGCAUAAACCAACCGUACUCACGAUAAUUAGUGGCGCUAAGAGCGAACUCGAGGAAUCAGCGCCGUUGAAAUCGAUAGAAACACCUGUCAUCACGUCCCCGCUGAAACUGGUCAAUAUUGCUGAACUAAAGCAGGCACCGGAAGAGAAGUUAACGAGUCCAACGACACCUGUCGCUGCAGUAUUAAACACGAUGAAGAAGCUUGGCGCCGCCGACGAGAUCCCGGUGGAUCCCGUCGUGAAGACGCACGAAAAACUACCCGGCAAGAAUAGCCUACCAUUUCCGACCGCCGAUUCUAUUCCCGUGGGGCAUAGCAAGCUGUCCGUCAAACCGAUAGAUCAAUUGGCCGCGAAUCUCGUGAGGAUACAAUCGGAGAAGCUCGAGAAGCCGAGCGGGCCGAAGUCAUUGGAGAAGAUAGCGGAAUCUCUGGCAAGGUCGUCCGGCGGUAUACUGGGAAAUUUAAUGAACGGUAACGAGGACGACAGGCUACCGCAAGACUUCUGUGCGAGGAAUCAGUCCGAGAAGCCGGCGAUGCUCCGGGGGCACAGAGGUAUAGAUCUGUCUACGUCGCCACGAGGAUGGGAGAAUGCAAACGAACAAAACCGACCGAUGGAUUUCUCUGGAAUCGAUCUUUCUAGUCGAAAGCUGGCCAAAACGGUGGAUAUGCCCUCCCCUGGAUAUCGAGCACCAGACUUCCAGCACAGGGAGAUGGAUCUCAGCACGAAGAAGUUGAGCAAACCGCCGGAGGUGCCGCCCAACUUACCGUACGACGCGCGGAGCGUGAUGAUGCGGAAUCACGCGAUGUUGGCCGAUCUGAGUAAAAGGCAGAUUCCGCCGUUUUCCUCGUACGAGAUGUCAACACCGUAUCACAAUACAGUUAGAUUACCCGCCAAGGAGGAGCAUAGAUUACCCAGCUACACGAUACUCCCCGAUCCCAGCAAGAUCACAGCCCUGAGAAUGAACACCGCGCCGAUGAAGCGUCCGUUGGAGGGUGACGACGCGCAGCAAGACAUGCUGAAGAGGAUAAGAGCCGAUGUGAUCCCGAUCAGAGGCUCCAUGGACAAAAGAUCGAUGAUGAGCAGCAGUUGGAGAGAGGACAUAGGCGAAGCUAUCGAGGAGCCGAUGAUGAUGGUUCAGGGCGAGGGCUCUGGCAGCGAUUGCGACGCGGUGAAUCCCAUCGUCGGUGAGGCUGUCGAAGAGCCGACGAGUUUUUUUUACGGCGAGGGCUCCGGCGCUGAAUGCAACACGGGUAACCCCGGCGACGACGCGUCCACUGACAAUAAAGAAAGCAACGAAUCAAAAAAUGAACCUGACUCGGCCAGCGCGGCGCUGUCGCAGAAUAAGGUUUUAACCGAGGACGAUGUGUCCGCGGACUCGAUACUGUCGAAUAAAACCCCUGUAAAAUUAAAUAGAAACUACCCGCAGUCUAAUGUAAGCGUAAACGAUAAUUGUCAAAUAGUAGAUUCUAUGCAAGAGAAGCCAAAGUUCAAGCCGACGUUAGGCGUUCAGAUAAUACCGAAGAGUACAACCGGCCCCGUCAAAAGGCUGUCCAGGUGGGACGUGGGUAAGCCGGAGGAGAAGGCGGAAUGCGACAGUAGUAUCAUAUCAAACGAAGGAAACAUAUCACUGAAGGAAAGUACGAAUGAUCACGAUGACGCAGAACGGAGGUUCUCGAGCGUGGACGUGGAACUGUCCCAAGCUGAACGCGAGGACUCCACUGGCGCACAUCGAGACGUGGUGGACAAGGUGGACGGGAGCAGCUCCGAGGCUGCAGAAAACGAAACGAUCGAGGACAGUUCCAAGUCGCAAGUGUCUGACACGAGUUCGGACAAUGUACAAAGUACAAUGGAGAAGGAGACGGCGGGCUCGAAGAUUCAAGAACCCACGCAGUGCGAUUCGUCCGUAUCGUCGUGUCAAGCGGACACCUCACAGAGGCUCGAGUCGUGCACGAAUUCUGAAGCUGUGGUAGAUUCGGCCAACGUACAAAACGCUUUCGACCCGAUUUCGGGCGUAGCUUCGCGCGAAUCGGACGCUUCCGAGGCGGCGGAUAAUGAAUGCAAGCCAACAGCCGCGUCCCCGCCGAGAUUUUUUUUUGGUCCCAAUUGUAUCUCCUACACUUCCAAGUCCGAUGAGCUGAGACAGCAACCGGAGCAAAGUCUUAGUGCAUCGGCGCACUCGAACACCGACACUGUGCAGUACGAGUGCGUGUCGUCGUCUAAAUCGGUGGACGACACGCCGUAUCUGUAUAAGACGGAAGAUUUCGACCUGACGCGCACGAAUAACAACUCUUUAAAAACAAAUCCGUUCGCCGCGGAGCCGGACGAUAUCUCAAGUGGAACUAGCAGCAAGGAUGUGGAGAAGACUGAGGAGCCGAGUAACGCCUGGAGUCAACAGACUUUAGCGGCGCUCAGCAGCUCGGAAGAUCCGACCGACGUAGCCGACGAGGCCAAUGUCGCUAAUUCGUCCAGCGAAACGCAGGCUCAGACGCAGAUUGCCAGUGCAGAUGAGAGUGUGCAGGAGUCCGUUUGCUCCAGCAAGGAAGUGGAAGAGGCCGGCAGUUUCAAAUCGAACAUGAGCUCUCCGUCAGAGGUGAUAUCUGGGAGCGAUGGCACGAAUGAGAUAAGCAUGACCGAAGAAGAACCGGUGGUUAAAAUCACUUCGGCCAGCGAGCACAGCGUGACUCAAGCCGCUCUGGAGAGCGGCAUCGUCGGACCGUCACAAUGUGACCAGUCCACUGAUUCCAGAAAAUCCGCCAACACGAGCCAACAAGAGAGCCCGUUCGAGAGAUCAGACGACAUCACGUCGCAACUGUCGGAAGAGGGGGAGAGAAACGACAAGCCAACAGUCGAUUACUCGAAAAACGAGGACGAUUAUCAGUUGCCUACCACCGGCGUAUUCAAGGAAGAUCAAGAGAAGACCGAGUCCGUGACUACGGCGCACUCGUCUUUGUCGUCUCUUACGCAGAACUCGCAAACCGAACUGGCCGACCUUCGAGAAUUCGAGGACGGUAACAACUCGAACGAGUUGCUAGAUUCCACCAAUUCGAACAGAUGCGCGAGUUACCAGGAUACGAGUAGUAGACCGAUGAGCGAGGCACUCCAGAAGAACGAUCUGGACUCGGCCGGGGAGAGCUGCGACAAGCAGAGCGACAGGAACGACAAUUUCUCCGAGAUCGAUGGUCAAGAGGAUCACUCCACCGACACGGACAACGAGAAGAUGAAGGGUCUGACCGGCUCUGACGCCGACUCGAUGUGCGUCAACUACGACAGGAGCAGCGAGAGGACAGACGCCUUGUCGGACGUGGGUAUGCAAGACGACGGAUCGGGCGACUCCGAGGAAGCCAAGGAGAAAGCGCUGAACGAUGUGCAAGUGAACGAUACAGCUUUCGGCAUCGAGCCCGAGAUGCAACUGCCUGAAAGUUCUCUGGUGACUAGCUCAAAACCGACGCCGGAGAACGACAAGCUUGAUUUAGUUCCUACUAUAAGCAGCUCGGACGACGCCUGCGUACAAGACUCCUCAUCCCAGGAGAGUGAACCUGCGCGAGUAGCUGAUGAAACAGUCGAGAACGCGCCGAAUGUUACCGAUGAGCCUUCCACGUUCAACACCCUGCCUGCGCUGACGCCCGAGGCGAGUGUCUUCGAAUUGACCAAGCAGCCCAGCAGCGUGGGAAGCGCGAGAGACACGAGUUUGACUAACUUGGUGCAGUCCACGAGCGAGUACGCCGACGAUAUGUCCGAAAAUCCCAGCUCUUGCAUCGAUCAGGACUCGAACGAGGAAAUGGUUAUAGACGAUCGCGUGUCCGAAUCCAACGAGUCGUCCAAAGAGAUCGACGAGGCUGUAACGAAUGCGGAGCAACAACAGACAGAUACAGCGCAAGAAUUCGAGGGGCAGGAAGAGCCGGUCUCGACGAACGUCGUCCAAGGGGAAUCCUGUCCGACCGCAACGGAAGCUGAAAAACGGAAGCCGGCAGAGGAGAAAUUUGAAGCUGACUUGGGGAGUGAAAGCGUCAACAAUCUUAAGGAGUCGAACGAAGAUGACGAGAGUACAGUUCUCAGCAAUGAUAAGCCGAGCACGACAAUCGCGGAUGGUGUCUGUGAGAUCGACAGAAGCAAAGAGUUUGUCGAGAGCACAGAAGAGUCGGAGAUAGACACAUCGACUGCGGUAAUGCCGGAGUCGAAGGUGGAUACGACGAACGUGACUCCUCAGGGAUCACAGACGGAGAUAACGAGUGAUAACAAUCAGCCAUUAGUUGCAAAUUACGACAGCGAUUCCAAUGACGACGGUAGCGACGAUGUUUUCGAGCCUGACGCUGCAGCGGGGACGAGUGAGUCCAAGGACGACGCUGCUACCUCUUCGACAGGACGAGAGAAGAGCGAAGAGCCUGAGGAGGAGCCAGCGAUUAUAGAGGACGAGGUUAAUAGCGCGAAUUCGACGUCUAAUGUGUCCCUGGAAUCUCCAUCUGCUGUUGAGCAGCAGAUGGAGGAACCUGUUAAAAUGAACCAAGUAUUGAAUCAAGAUACCACAGCUGUGGAGCAAGAUGUUAAAGUAAGCGCGCAUCAAGAAGAAUGUACCAAGGAGACGCAAGAUGAAUCUAUUUACAAUAGCUUUGAACAUUGUUCGAACGACGAAUCGACGACGUCGUCGGAUAAAGGUGAGCUCCUGGAAGAGCCGGAUGUCUCUAUUGCCGAUCAUCCUCAGCCAUCGGAAGAGUCAGACUCGACGAAGCUUGCGGCAGCCUUGGCUGCAACUGAGGAAACCACCGAGUCUAUUCUGAGCAAGAGUGUUGAGAUGACUAUCGAUCAUAGUGAGAAGAGCAAGGAGCGCCUGAACAAUUUGAUCGAGAAUAUGAAGACCGCGCGAGACGCGGCGCAAGAUAUCGUUGAAAUGUCGGAGAAGUCGGAUCGUGUAACGUCGGAGAGCGUCUGUGAGCUAAAAGAUGACGCGAAUAAAUUCGAGAAGUCCUCGUUCGUCCGUGAAAGCACGGAGUUCAAUGACGUGGACAGCCAAGUUACCAACGUGCUGCUGCACGCGAAGGAGCAGCAGCAUGCGAGAAGUCCAGACGAGAAACCGAACGUCAAUUUGGACGUCGAGAACAUUACGAAGCUGAAAGAUGCUAAUGAACGUAUUAUCGAGGACCUGCCUGUUACGCAACCGUGCAAGAGAUUGAAAGAAGAUCUCGAGGAGUAUCGUGGCAGCGACGUUAAAUUAGCAAUAGAAGACAGUUUAACCAAACCGUUCAUGGAAGGUGUGAGCUUGCCGAUUCACACCGAACUAGAAGUUAUGCCCAUGAAAUUGGACAAAGCGUUACCUGCGGACAAAUCGCACACGUGGAAAACCGAAGACGCGAAUUUGGAGGGGAGCGUGUCGUCGGACACGCUGUAUUACCCGAACUCGAUGUUCAUGAAGAUGGAGAAUAUCAACAACGUGGACAGCUGCAACAAUCAAAACGAGCCUUUUAAUAUAAGUAUGAGUGUAAAUAAAAUUACUGAAAACUUUAGUAAGAGCUCGGCUUCUGGUGCGAGUGACGACAAGUCGACCACGUUUCUUCCUGCUCAAGAGACCGUUUCAGAAAUCGGUACUGUCAGAUCCGACUCGAAGAAAGAGGCCAGUAAGCGACUGAACGACGCGUCCGAUGUCGAAGGUGUCCCUCCGAUCAAGUCGAAACCUCCUUAUUUGGAGACCGAACAGAAGAUACUGGAGAAUUUGGUGAGUGCCGAUGUGGCAGCGCCUAAAAACGUGGAUACGUUCAGCGAGAUCGUAAAAUUAGGGGCGAAAAUUGAAGAUGAAGAGAGACCACCGGCGAUCUCUACGAUGCAGUUGUUUCAAAACGAUUUCGGCACAAUAAAUGACUCCACGACUGCCGCACCGGCGGACGACUUGAGGAAAAUCGAAAGCCUGGAGACGUCAAAGGAGAAAGAAUCGUCGGAGAUCCAGAGCGUCGAAGUGAAAGAGAUUCACGAUAUCUCCGACGACUCGACAGGUGUGGAUAAUGAAAGUAUCUUCAAUACACCGUUGGAGGAAGCUGAUCCCUUAGCGUGCACCGACGAUGACGCUUUGAAGAAUAUCGUCGAGGACGACACCACUUCCAAGAUCAGCAUUCGUGUAAAACCGGUGUCUGAGCUGGUUUACGAGGGGUGGAAGUUGGACAACACUAUAGAAACCCCGAAGAUCUCGCGAAAGCGACGAAACAGCGCCCACGAGUCGAAUUCUGAAGACGGAGCUGCGAAGCAGGAAGAUGAAGAGAUGAUGGGCGGCAAGAGGAUGAAAUUACGCGGGAAACGCAUGCCUGAUAGGGAACUACGAAAGUCCAUCGAGGAAAGUCGGGUAGUAACAACUAUAAGCUCCGAGGAUGAGGCUGUGAAAUGCGAGGUUCCUGAGAACGUAACGGAACACGUGAACAAGGACAACGAUGAUCUGAAUAUAAUACACGCAACGGUGAUCGAUAGAAAGACUAGGGGUCGUCCCAGAGGCAGGCGGAGGCGCGGUUGCCGGGGUGCUGGGCGACCCAGUCGGCCGAAAAUCACAGGAUUUCAGGGCGAUCAAGUGCCGGCUGAUAUUCUUCCUGAUGGUACUCCAAACAACACUCUGAAUAUAACACCUACAACGCAGAAGAGGCGGAAGAAACGAAAGAUGGUCUUGGGCUUAGAGAUAGGUAGAGACAUUGCAUUGGAAACGGAAACACCGAUGGAUCAAGAUGAGAUGCCUGUCAGGCAGUCAAGAAGAAUAGCACAAUUGAAAAUCAAAGAACAGGCGGACAGACGCAGGAUCGAGGAGGAAACCAUGCGCGAGCUGGAGGAAAAAAAGGAAUCUGAGAAGAAGAAGAGGAAGAAGCAGAAGCCGGAAAGCGAGGAGGAAGUUAUCAUCAAAGAAAUUGAAAAGGAGAAAAAGUCUAAGAACAAGCGCCGAAAGAGGAAAAAGAAAAAGAUGCUGGCGAAAUUCAAUGAAGCGAAUCCAUGGCAGAGCUCGUCUGGGUCUAGCAGUGAUGAGGAGAAUGAAAAUGAGGACGAGGAGGAGGAAGAGGAGGACAUGGAGAGCGAGGGAUCCCUGCUGUUCAAAAGUGAUCACGAAUUUUCUCCGGAGAGCGAUCUCGAGAAGGACCAAGAGUCAGAACCGUUGAGACGUGCCAGAACCGCUCAGAAGGCUCAAAGCGAUGUCGAAGAAGCCGAAGACGAGUACGCUUGUCAGAAAUGUAACAAAGCUGAUCAUCCGGAAUGGAUUCUCCUGUGCGACUCGUGCGAUAAAGGUUGGCACUGCUCAUGUCUCAGGCCAGCUCUCAUGCUCAUACCCGAAGGUGACUGGUUCUGCCCGCCGUGUCAGCAUAAUCUGCUGGUAACGAAGCUACGGGAGACCUUGAAGACAUUCGAUCAGUUAACAAAGAGACAUGAAAAUGAAGCACUACGAAAGAAGCGAUUGGCAUUUGUCGGCAUAAGCUUGGAUAAUGUGCUUCACAAGGGUGACGCGACGCAGCGCUUACCGAAAGGAUCGAAAGCAUCCAGUCAGGAAUCAGAUAACGAAUCUACGUCUUCCUCGUCGCCCUCAUGUUCAGAAACAUCAAGCAGCGAGGAGAGCGAACCAGUUUACCAAUUACGCGAACGUCGGUGUGCCAACACCUAUAAAUUUCACGAAUACGAUGACAUGAUCAACGCUGCGAUUCAGGACGAAGUCGAAGCGGUUCAAGGUGCUGGCAAUCAGGGAAGAGGCAAAGACAUCGCGACGAUAGUUAACGCAGAGAAGGAGGAGGCUCAGGCCGAAGCGUUAAAGAUGACGCAAUUGGAGGAAGACAGGGACGAUAUCGAGAGGAAAUCGGAAAAAGAAAGCGACGAAGAAUACAAGAUCGAAAAUGAAGAUAUGAUCGACGAGAUAGAGGAAGAACGAAAUCGAGUUGCCAAGAAGCUGUUGGCACGCAAAAAACACCGGAAACUAAAUAGUCUCGAUAUAAGCAGCGAAGACGACCCUGAGAGUGACGAAGAUUUCAAGGGCACGAGUUCCGAAGAAGAGGAGGACUUUGACGAUCACAUCACAUCUUCUGAUGACAGUACCUUUGCCGAUGUAAAACGACGCGGUAGAAAGGGCGACGCUCGUCCCGUCAGAAGGUCUACUAGGGCGCGUAUGACCCGAGGAUACGACGAUGAUUUUAUUAACGACGACAGUGACGAGAGUGAUCGACCCAAGCGAAAGAAGUCGCGGUCGAUAUGGGGAGAUUCGGACAGCGAAGACAGUGAUAAUUCGUGGCGGCAGCGAAAGAAAAAAAGUAGAACAAUGGCGACGUCCAGAGUCAGGGCAGUGCCGAAACCGAAGGGAAAGAAGAAGAAAAAGAGAAAACGUAUAAUAGAAUCCGACAAUCAGAGCGAGAAUGACGAGGAGGACGAGCCGAAAAUCGAAGAACAAUGCGAACCGAACUUGCCAGACGUAGAUACUACAGGACUGAACGAGAUGCUGGACGUUAAUAAGCAGGAAGAUUUCGAAAAUAACAUGGGCGAAAAUAAUGUUGAAAUGAAAGAGGAAGAGCUACCAGAAGCAAUCUCGGAGAUUCCACAUGUACCGCAGAUCCCACAACUGCAAGAGAUCGCGUCGAUUCCGAAAAUCAAAAAAGAUGUCACGCCUAAACCGAAGAAGGUCCCGGCUAUCAGGCGAAAGAUUAUUUACGGCGGACUUCCAGAUGAAAACAGACGAGAAGAGGAGGAAAUAUUAAGCAGAAGGACACGAGGGCGGAAGAUCAAUUAUCGAGAAGAAAUGGUGUCCGAUAGCGAAGAGGAACUCAAGAAAGCGCUAAUGAUGAGGAAGACUGGAGAGAGCGAAGAUGAAUUCGUAGUGAACGAAGCCGACGAAAUGAACGAUGACGGGGACAAGGAUUCCGACUCAGGAGAUGUUUAUAUUCCCAAAAAGGAUGCUCUGAAGUUUAAACACAAAUCACCGAAAGCGAAGAAGGCACGAAACAGCAAGAGUCCAGCAGCGAAGCGUAAGUCGUUAUCGGAUGAUACGCCGAAGCAAAGAAAAAAGCCAGGUCCAAAGCCAGGCAGUAAGAACAAAGCGCGAAAAUUGAAACAGAAGGAAGAAACAGCGGACGGGGAUAUAAUGAGCACGGGAAUGGACAAUCCAAUUGGCGAUAUAGCAUCCAAGAUAGACGAUAAUUUGCCGGACAACGUCGGGUUGACAGCGACGACGAUGUCGGUGGCGAGUUCGUUCACCGGAGACGUUCCAGAAGGUUCCCUGACGGGGCUCGGUGCUGGAGAGCUGGCCGAUCUAGACGACGAGCAACUGGAGCAGAUGAUGAUGGAGGACGAGGAGUACGGUCGACGACAGCUUGAACUCGCGGCGAUCGAAAUCGCGAAGAAAAAGAAAAAAGAGGAACGAGAAGCCAAGAAACUGGAAAAGGCUCGCUUGAAGGCUCUGGAGAUACUGGCGGCGGAGAGGCAGAGAGAUGCUAAUGCGCCUGAAGGCACGGACGGCGAGGUGCCGAAGAAGAAGAAACGUGGUCGGCGCAGCAAGGCCGAGAUAAUCGCGGAACAGAUGCGCAGAGAUGGUGCUCCGAGUCUAGGGAUAGCAAGUAUGGCGCCUGCGAUCAGCGGCGGUGUCACUCCGGACGGUGCCAGUGUUGUUUCGCACAAUGUGAAUCCUACGUUGUCUGCAGUUUUGACGCCCGACACCGACAGGAGCGCCGAAGGAGCACAUAUUCCCCUCAUGACCGGACCAGACGGACAGCUCUUCAAUCCCGAUGGAUCACCGAUGAAGCCAAAACGACGCGGACGAGGUAAAGGUAAGAAGACACUGGCAUUGGAGGCGGCUAGGGCGGCUGAGGCGGCAGCCAAGGCUGCAGCUGAAGCUGGUUUAAUCGGUAUGGGGACCGAUUCAAACCCGGAAAUGAAGCAGAACGAUAUCCCGAACGUUCUUCCUACGCCAGGCAGCAGUACAUCCGGUUCAGCGCCGUCCACACCACCGGCGAACACUGUGCCGACUGCAGGUCCACCGUCGACGCAACCCUCGAACUCGCAGCCUGUUUAUCCGUCGCUUCCACCCGGCCAGCAGUCUUCCGUCAUCACGAGGAUGCUGCAGUCGCAGCCGGUGUCUAGCAGUCCACAAUCAUUCACCGUCGCAGCGGCUGCGAUGGGCCACAAAUACUUCGGUGCACCCAACGCGGCCGGGCAGAUGAUGGGCGGCCCGCGAACAGGAUAUGAGAUGCAACCACGCGCCAGGAUCCCGUCCCCGUACCGGCAAGCCGGUCAAUCUUCAAUGCCGCCGCAUUUCGCCGCGGUGGGCACGGGCACACCGACGAUGCGCAUGCGGGUACCCGGGCCACAAAUGUACCACACCGGUCGCCAUCCGAUGGACCCGUCGCCGUCGGGCGGCGGGCCGAUCUCUAUCAACAGGGAUCGCAGUUCACCGUUGACGCCUGGACCGGCGAUGAUCCCACCAUCAGCCGGCAGUCCGUUGGCCAAGGGGGGACCGACGCCACCGCCGCCACCGCCACCGUACGUGCGAGGUGGCCCAUCGAUGGCCAGGUUCGCGGACAGCCCCAUGGGACCCAGGCAUCAAAUGCCGCCGUUCACCAACGCGUCACCCGUUAACCACAACAUGCAGCAGCCGUCACCACCGCCCAAUCGACCACCUGGUAACUUCUCGCCUUACCACCCACCACCACCACCCAAUUACCACUACGGCGCGUACCCACCGCCGCCGCCGAUGUCCACGGCGGACGACGCAGCCGCUUACCAGACCUCGCCGUAUCCGUCUGAGCACUUCUCGUCCCCAGCGGACAAUCAGCCACCGAUCCAGGCGCCGCCGCCGCAGGCACCACCUCCGCAACAGGCGCAUCCAGGCGACCCCGGUGCCGGUAACAAGCAGUACGACGAGGAAGGCACUGGCGAGUUCGGCGGGCUGGUAUCUUACUUCAGCAGCCAGAGGGAGGACGAUCUCGAUUCGUAGCAUGAGUGAGAGCUUGGCCAACCCUGAAUCGUUAGGUAGGGUCUAGGAGCGCGCGCUUGUCCGCGCUCUUUCAUGCCCAAGUAUAAGAUCGCAACUUUUGCUGGAGAGGCGUGCCAGUAAGCAGAGACAGCGUAUAGGUAAACGCAUGAACGAUUGCCCGGAGGACUCUCGCCGUGGAUGAAUCAUAUAAACCGCGCACGAUGCUCGAUGCUACCGUGUUUCUCCGUGUUCGCCGCGGUGGGCCGAGAGCGGAGCAGGGGGGAGGGCGGGGUGACACGGAUGCAUUUGUGUGUGUGUGUUUGUUCGCACGCGCGUGCGCUUGCAAAAGACAGAGCCCCACAGUCUUCCUCUUCGACCUCUGACAGCAAACAGUUGUCUGUAGCCUUUGCACUUCUUUGUGGAGAAGAAAGCCGCCGGCAGCAAGUCCAUGGUUGGCCAAGUGUAGAGCGAAGUGGACGAUGAGAAAUCGGUGCGCGACGAAGGGCGAAGCCUAUUUUCUAAGAAUUGUAACUUUUUCUGUAAUUAGCUUUCAGUUUCACCGGACAAUUUGAUAAGAGGACGCGCGCGAGCCGUAUAACGCGCUGAUAAGGUGCGGUCGCACCGUCCGAGGGACGACCAGACAAAAGAUCUGACCAGAACUUUUUCACCAUUAUAUUCGUUGCUAAAUCGUCAGACGGGAGAACUUCGAGCGAAGUUACUUCCAAGAUCAAGUUUGGUAUGGCAGAAAAAAAGGGAAGUAAAGUGGGAAGAGUUAGGCUACACUAUAGUAGUUGUUGCAUGCCCCGUUGCGGAGAAGGAAGAGAAAUCAGUCUUCGAUAGCGACGAGAGGCGAGUGAAAAUUAUCGCAUGUGGCUUGGAUGACGCAUUAUUGUUAACGUGUACAUAUGUAAAUACCAUUUUACUUGGAUAAUUCUAUGAGAAACCAUUAAAAAUAUAGUUAUAUAUAUAUAUAUAUUAUAUAUAAAUAUAUAUAUAUAUAUAUACACACAUAUUGGAGAACAGGAGGCUGCUCUGAGUGCAUCCUAUAUGAAGAGGGACGGCAAGGGACUUCUCCCAAAAUGAAACUAGCAUUAGAAUAAUCGGCGUGUGAUGUGGAGAAGGGAGUAAAUGAAAUCCUAUAAUAACUUACCGUGCAAUUACUUUAUACAUAUAUUUAUAUUAAUUUCAAACUGUUCAGACAUGUUUACAUUUUUUUUAUCGUACGAUCAUGUAGAAAGUAUUUCUCGCUUUUAAGAAGGCGAACGCGCCCGAACGAUAUAUAUAUAUAUAUAUAUAUACAUAUAUAUAAUUAUUUAAUUAUUAAAGACGCGUUAAUAACAUAUAUACAGAUGAUAUUAAAGACGUCGUGAUAUAUUUGAUGGAAUUUAUUAUUAUUUUUAUUCUUUUUUGUUCAUUUGACGAAUGGAUUUGACAAGAUUCGUCCGAGUCGCUAGUAUGCGUCUAUAGCGCGAAACUUGAAGGAUAGGAUGGUUUCAUUUGGGCUCUUUAUUUGAGGUUCCUUCCUGGACUUUUAUUUGAUCGGUAUCCAUACUCUCUUGUCUAAAGACAGGUGUGCGCUAAAUGUGUGGCUCGAUUCUAAAUUUCUUCCAAUACAACAAUCGUUUAUUCAUUGUGCUUAAGUAAAAUUUUAAGAAUAUGGAUCGAAUGAUCAAAUUGCUAACUUUGACAAGUCGAUCCUUUGUCUUUUCCUGAUUUUGAUUUUAGGAGAAUACAAGAAAUUGCCACAAAGUUAACGAAGCAGUUAAUGAAACUUCCUUGAUGUCGAAUGUCUUUAGGACUUUGUCACACCGCAUUUAGCGCCGAGUGUGUGCGGUAUGAAUAUCGGUCGAUGAGUGAGAUCGAAGUCCAUGAAGGAAAUUAGAAUGAAACAAAAUGAUUAAAUGGAUUGGAUACAGUUAACGAUCCUAGAAGACACGUGUCCCACACUUCGCUAAGCUUCAGAUUCUCAGUUCGUCGGAUAUAUCGAUGAUCGCGACAGCCUCCUGCUCUUUGAAAGAGUCGUGUUAAAACAAGCGGCCAUUAGCGGCCACAUGUGCGACGCGAGGAAAGGAAAAAAUCAUUGUAUCUGUUUAGUUAUCACGUACGUGCAUACCCCUAAUAUAAAUAGAAGCUAUAUGAAUAAGCGAAAAAAAGAUAUUACAUUUAUCUUAGGAUUAGCUUGCUUGGGAGAGUUUCCUUUACUAUGUUGAAUAUUUGACGACCGAAUUAAACGGUUAUAAACACACACAUACACAUACACUCAUGAAAACACAAUACUCCCUACAAACUACACGCCGUAUAAUGUAAUAGAGGGGUUUACUACCACUAAUUUUAUUAUUUUUACACCUAUUACGACGUAUAUCUCGGUUGUACGCAGUUCGAUGUACAAUCACUAUCGUCUUCUUCUUUAGA